CUUGCCUAAGAAAAUGAGUAGUCAGUGUUCGAUGAUUUUCACCAUUUAGUCUUACAGAUGAUAUAUGAGUUUUGACUAGACUUGAGCACAGAUCUUUAUUAUAGUAGCUUCAGAGCACCAUUAUGAGAUCAGAUGAGUUGCAGACAGUCCUUUAGGUGAAUGUUAUAGCUUGAAGCUUUUAGAGACUGAUUUAUACAAACUGAACAACAAUUAUAGCAUGACAAGAUCUUCUUAUCAAAAGGAGAAAAAUAUAUUAGAAACUCUAUCUGGAGAUAUCAUUUGAUUGACUCCGAGUUCUGCAUGACAAGUUAUUUUCAAUCUACCAUUGAAACCGCAUUUUGCUAAGUAGUUGGUCAAUCAUUUUCAGGAUGCUCAACAUCAGCAUGGUGCUAGCUUUAAAUAAUUAAAAGGGAAAGACAACCUACAAAGCCAGACAUGCGAGGCCAUUUGCCAUGGUCAAAAGCUUCUCUGGCUGCGUUCACUGCCAAGUCAACAUCCUCCUUGUCACCGGCAGCUAUGUCGGCAAUCACUCCUCCGGUACGUGGGUCUCGUGUCUCAAAAGUUUUUCCUGUAUCAAGUAUAAUUGAAGUCAGAUAUGAUUUGGGAAAGUCCCAAAUGUGUUUCUUGUAUCAGCAACAAUGUAAAAGAUUCAUAUAUGGUUGAUCAAAUAUAUAUAUAUAUAUAUAUAUAUAUAUAUAUAUAUAUAUAUAUAUAUAGGAUGUGACAAAAUCUUUAUCAACUAAGGGCUAAGCUAGCCAGCACCAUUUUGUGUCUGAAAUUUUGUUUCUUUCCAAUUGUCGUGAAUAAGUACUCUUGUUAUUCUUUUUUGUGAAAAGCCAAUUAUAUGCUUUUGCCUUUUGGUAGAUGAGGACAAUUGACAGUGCAACUAUAUUUAGUUUUCCACAACACUUAUAUUUUGUGUACCACAUCCUCUUACAGAAAAUUUCUAGCCAUUUGAAUGAAAUAAUUUGGUGAUCUUCAACUGUUAAUGCCUCCAAAAAAGGAGACAGAUGCCAUCAUGACAAGGCAACACAGGAUUUUGAUGUAAUUCCAGCACUUUCUAAGUUCUAGUUGCCCUCAUUUAGCGAACUGAUGUGAUCAAACAGAGAAACCCAGAAGAGAAAGAAAGAGAAGGCUCGGCGACAAGGAAGACGAGUGCUUCUUUACCCGAGACGGCGUCGACGAAGCAGCCAUUGAUGAAGAGCUUGGUGAACUUGAUCUCGGGCAUCUUGACACCGUCUCCUGUGCUGCCAUUAGCCUCGCUCGCCAUUGCCGAGAGGAAGGGAAUUGCUCCCAAUACUUCAGGCUUCACGUUUUAAGGUUGCUGUUGCUAACGCUGUGCUUCUCACUCGAUGUUGGUAGCAGGCGUGGAUGGCACCAUUCCCACCCAUAAAUUUAAUAUUAUAUCCACACCUCAUGUUGUAGAUGGCGAAUGAUUGAGUCAAACUUACCGUUUUUUGGGAAACUCGAAAUUUCUAUUAUUCAAUUUUGUUAACAUUUAUAUUUAUUUUAAUUCAACAAAUUUGAAUGGUUAAGUUUCUUUGAUUGGAAUUGGAUCUGUAAAAGGACUGUGGAUUUCUCAGUCGAUGAUUAAUUUCUUUUCCAUAAGUCACAAAAUAUGUGUUUUUUUAAUUAUUUUUAAUUAUUAUUCUUUUUAAUUUUGUUAAUUACAUCAGAUUUAUUUUUUCCAAAUGUUUACCUCGACAAUCUAAGGAAUGAUUUUGGCCUGAUCUGAUUCAACAUAAAAGUAUUUUUUUAAUUCGAUUAUCCUUUUAAAUUAGACACAUAAUUUAAAUUACUUCGUGAUAUAAGAUAAAAAUCUAAUUGGAAGCACAAUGGUUGAUAAAAAGAAUUUAUGAUGGAUAUUUAAGUUGCAAAUUAGAGGAUACUGACGUGAGUUAAAUCACAACAUGGUUAUUUCUUUUAAAAAAACCCUUAUUUUGGGUAUUUUCUAAAUAAUUAUCUAUAUUUUAUUUUUUUUAAAAUCAUACUCCUAAUUCAAGAAUUAUCCAAAUUAUCCGUCCUCAUCCAUUGUAGCCUUCUCCAUCAUCGUCAUUAUCGAUUCCUUUUCCUUCUUGUAUUGUCAUCUUGUAUCGUCUUUAUCAUCAUCCUGCAUAAGAAAAGAGGGGGCACGAGGGCAACCAUCGAGCCUCGCACCUUUCUUGUGAGAAGACUGUAGGCGACAAGUCCAACGAGACAAAUGGAUCGACUUUGAGAAUGCAUUGCAAUUACUUUAAAAAGGGUUUUCAACCAUUUUAACCCCUUUACUAUUUGGCUAAAUAUUUUCUUAUUUUUAUUAAAAUAAAAUAAAAAACUCUCAUAAUAUUUUCAAUAAAACAUAAUGCAUAUAGUUUCAAUAUAUUCACUAAUUAAAGUCUGAGUUAGAGAAACAUAAUUCAAAACUUAGAUUCAUUUCAUUUUCUUCGGAUGAAAUUUAAGUUUUUAAAAAACACUUUACAUAUUGUAGCACCGAGAAAUUUAUUUCAAUAAAUGUUUUAUGUUUUUAAUUUUAUUUACCAAAAAUUCCUAGAGAUUGAAUUUUGUUAACAUUAAUAUUUACUUUAAUUAAAAAAGUUUAAUGGUUAAGGUUUUACGUUUCUUAUGGGUUUAAUUAAACAGCCUAUAGUUCACAAUAGAAGAAUACUCGAUCUUAUUCUUGGAAAGCAUAUUCAAUCAUACACCUAUCCGAAGCCUCCCGAUGGAUUUCUAAAUCUUAUUUUUUGUAAUUCAUUAAUCAGAUCGAUUAUGUUUUGUUUUUUGUUCUUACCCUUAAAGACCUCCAAAGAAAUGAGAGUCUAAAAUUAGUCUCUUCGCCAGCGUUUCAUUUUGUCAGUAGCUUUGUAGUGUUUCUUGUUUGUGUGAGGUAAAAUGGCGGGGUGGGCGUCUCACCGGUCGUCCUCUGCGUGACUUCCAACAAUGCCAGCAAAUACUCAUGUGAAGAUAGCAUUUGACAGCUGAAACAACACAAUGAAUGAUGCCAAACGCAUAGAUCCAUACCGAUGAGAUCGUGUGAUCUGUGUAGCCAAAAUUUAAUCCAAUUGCAUACAAGAAGAGGUUCUAUGAUCGCAUCUACCGAGUUUGUAAUAAGAUGGACCGGUAAAGAUGAUUUUUAACUGUCUUCGCCACCACACAAAUGUUUGUUUUCAAUUUUUUUUUCGAUGCUGACAUUUUUAGUUUUCGAUGGAUUCAGUGUUCGAUGGAUUCCCCCUCCUUCUUGCACCAUUUAGUCAGUGAUCUCAAGCUACGUGUCCAAGCCCCUGAAGUCAACAUGUAGAUCUUAGACUAUCUCUUCGUCAUCCUGAUGCUGGUGGCCAAGAAAGAAACAGUCUUUUGUUCUUGAUCAACUUGGAUCUGUAUUGAGAUAUCAGCUGACCCCUCUUGUAGACCAUGAUUCUUCUUCAUGAGCUUGAGAGGAAAGAUCUUAAGAUGAUCUGUGAUAAGGUUUGUGUCCUCUUCUCGGGAUAUUGAUGUCUUCUGGCGUAUUCAUGCACCGUUCCUUUUUCUUCUUUCUUUUUUCUGAAAGAUGAAGAACAAUAUACACUCCCACGUCUCUCUCUCUCUCUCUCUCUCUCUCUCUCUCUCUCUCUCUCUCUCUCUCUCUCUCCUCACGAUAGGAGCUGCACGAAGUCGUAGGGUUUCUCCAGCGAAACAACAAAUACGUUCAUCACAUUCCUGUAAGUACUCCCCGCUGCAUGAAUUGUUGAUGCCUGCGGAAAGUGAUUCUUUUUCUUCUUGCUUGGAGUUCCUGUGAUUCAGUCCAAGUAAUGACUUCUGCAGAAGAAAGACUUGCACAAUUUCUUGAUCCAUCGAGUGGAUGCAACAGCACAUCUACACACAUUCCCAAGAGAUGCUGAGCUUUAGAAUUCAUCCCAAUUGAAGAUUUUGCCAGUAUAGAAGAUCAUCUCUUGAAUAAAAAAAAUAAGUAAACAUUAUCUACAAAUGAUAGAUGAGAUUAUUUAUUCAUACUUUGGGUUUUACCAAAAAAAUGAGUUGCAAUUUGAGAUAUAAGAGAAGUUAUUGGUCCUAUAUGCAAUCCACAACCAAGAAAAGGAAAAGAUAAAUGAUUUGAUGCAAAGCAGGUCAUUGUUUUUUUGGCCCAAAAAAUACACUACUUAACAUUCUUUACAUAAAAAAAAGAAUCAAAGCACAGCUUGGAGUUUAUAGUUUCCCAGCUGUGACUAAAUAACUUGGUCUUUAUCAAAGUUGGCUAAAAUAUGGGCCGACAUGGCUCCACUUGACCUCCUCAAUCACUCCUCUCAAUGAUCAAAUCCAUCUUGUAACCUAAUGAUGCAUCUCGACACAAUGGUGGCAUAUAUUGGCUUAGAACGUACAUUUAGUGAACAGAUAUCUCCAGAGUAAAGAGUAAUAAGCUCUCAAAGCAUGAGAUGAUCUUUGUGAUUUGAGGUAUUACAACAAAGACGCAGUCAACCCUGAGACCUCCCUCUCGUGUGUUUGGAUGCCAGCUUUUGUAGGAGAUCCUCAAGAGAUCCAGCCAAAAGGCAACCACCCCAUUCUCCUCUUCCUCCAUUCUCUUUCCUACCACCUCCCUUGAGACAGCGGCCAUUUCUGAGUUGGCCUCGUUUGAGGCCCUUCUUGCCCUUCUUGCCGUUCUGCUCUCCCCUCUCUCCUGUCUUCUCUUCGACUCCAUCUUGAGGCAUUCUUGAUCGGAUUGGAUUCACGUCGGAGAAGGCAGAAUCACUUCCCCGAUCAUCGACGCUAAGGAUUCAGUUGUGGUAUUAGCUUGCAUGCCUGACUGACAUCGACAUUAGUAUUAACAUCCCGAAAAAGAGACAAUGAACGACCUCCUCUCCACCACCUCCUUCAAGCAGUACACCAACCUGAAGCACCAGGUGCAGAUGGACCAGAUGGAGGCGGGCAUGAGCGGGCCGGGCGCCGACGUCGGUGCCAACCUCGAGAGGUUCUUUGAGGAGGUGGAGAACGUGAAGAACGACCUCCGCGGCCUCGAGAGCCUCUACCGCCGGCUGCAGGAAGCCAACGAGGAGAGCAAGACGGCCCACAGCGCGAAGACGAUGAAGGCGGUCCGCGCGCGCAUGGACGCCGACAUUGGUCAGGUGCUACGGCAAGCUAAGGCGGUGAAGGCCAAGCUCGAGGCGCUGGACCAAGCCAACGCGCAGCACCGGAACAUCCCCGGAUGCGGCCCUGGGAGCUCGGCGGACCGGACUCGGACGUCGGUGGUUAGCGGGCUGGGCAAGAAGCUCAAGGACCUGAUGGACGACUUCCAGGGGCUGAGGACGAGGAUCGCGGCGGAGUACAAGGAGACGGUCGGGCGGCGGUACUACACGGUGACGGGGACGCACGCGGACGACGACACGAUCGAGACGCUCAUCUCGUCGGGGGCAAGCGAGAAGUUCAUGCAGAAGGCGAUCCAGGAGCAGGGGCGGGGACAGGUGAUGGACACGAUAUCGGAGAUCCAGGAGCGGCACGACGCGGUGAAGGAGAUCGAGAGGAGCCUACUGGACCUGCACCAGGUGUUCCUGGACAUGGCCGCGCUGGUGGAGGCUCAGGGCCACCAGCUCAACGACAUCGAGAGCCACGUCGCGCACGCCAGCUCGUUCGUUCGCCGGGGCACGGUGGAGCUGGAGACGGCGAGGGAGUACCAGAAAAGCUCCCGCAAGUGGUUCUGCAUCGGCAUCAUUGCCGCUGCUCUCCUUAUCACCUUCCUGCUGCUUCCCGUUCUGACCACCAUGAUUAGAUAGGAGAGAGAGAGUGAGGAGCGGGAGUCAUACUUUCUCUAUCUGUAAAGACAAUAACCUACACAGAUUUCUUUUAUCGUUGUUGCAAUGGAUCUUUUCUUGGAUCCCGGUCACUACAAAAACCUUAGAAGUUUUGAUAGUUCUGACAUUGCUGCAACGGAUCAUCUACAGUUCUUAAUAUGUUGCGUGACCGAGCUGAGCAUGAACGAAGAACAUGGGCUUGUUGAUCAUGAGCAUGAACCGAUGCAUCAAAUUUCGCCGGCAAAAAUGAAUAAGAUUAGUGCCAACAGUAAUUACAAUAAUAAUAAGAUAGAUUCACAUUGAAUCACACUCAGAUAUUAAUGAUCAACAUAUAAUUGAGAAGUUAGUUUUGGUCAACUUCUACUCAUCUACCCACGUGCAUAAAAGUAACAUAAAUUGUUUGAGACUAUCUCCCUAGUCAUCCACAUCGACAAAACGUCAAGAGGAGGACGUUGGGGUUGUUGCAUAUUAUUCUCUCUAAAACUAAGUAUAAAAGCUAAUAUCCGAUGCUAUAUUAAUUGGUUCUAUUUUUAAGAAAAAAUUCAUACCGAAUAAGAGAACUUGAUCACUAACUCGAGCGUCGGAGAAAUCAGAUCAAAAAAUUUCUCUUGACAUCAAUCUUUGUGCAAGUGGCACCUUGAGAUCUCGAUACCUUAAAGCCAUAUCAAAGCCACCUCAGAUACUCCUGCACCCUGUAGUUUAAACUUUAUAGGAACGAUUUUGCCUCAUGCUAACUCAUUCACCACAAAGGUCGAUACCUAAGCAGGGCCCCAAGUCACUAGGCCCAAAAUGGCAUCGUAGUGAAUUCUUAUGUGCCUUGCAUCAAUGACUGACAAUAACUGUCAUAUCUUAUCAAGAUCAAUAAUUGUCCUAUCUUAUCAAGAUCAGAGACCUGAAUGAUUAGGCGAUUAACUUGAUCUUAUCCCAAGCUAGCUAGUAAGAAGGCUUAGGGAUCAGGUAUAAAAAGAAACCCAUCAGCUCAUGUCGAGAGGGGAUUCUCUACACGUUAACUCAGUCAUACAACUUACACUGUUGUCUUCUUCCCUUGGCUAACUUAAGCAUCAGAGGAGUCAUGUCAGGUAACCCCUGGUGUCAGCCUGUCAUGCAGGAUCGUCAGUCGCCCAAAGACACUUGGAUGACCCAUCCUCUAGUGAAGGACCUCACAGCCGAGCAUAUCCUAGUUCCUCUACCCGGUCUCACUGUUUUAAGGCCAGAUCGAUCUCGAUGAAUCAUUCGUCUCUCUUGUGGGGGUUCUUAUAUGUCAAUUUGCCAUAUAAGAACUCUCACAUCAGCACAGAGGAGAAUACAAUGAUGAAUCUGCACUGUCAACAGUGAACCAACCAUGUCGACUUACCAGUUGACGAUCCUCAUGACAUUAUCAUUCCGACGCUAUGAGGGUUAGAACGUCGUAGGCACACCCUUCUGUUACUCCUUCCAAUAAACGUUCGAGCGAAGAGAUAUUACCUCUAGUCCCAAGCCCCCUCAGGAAGAGAAGGCACGUAUCCCAAUUUAAUAUAAUGAUGGCUCUGCCUCAUCUCAGGCAUCGAGGCUCUAUUCACAUCUACUUAUCUAGGGUUUUUCCCCUCGGGACUAGAGACAAGUCUCUUGCUCAUCCCAUCAAAAGCAUUCUUGAGCCUCACUCAACGAGUCCAAACUCUUACUAAUAUAAUGUAAAUUAUCACCCCACUUCUCCCUCAAUUGACUUAGCCAAUAAUCCUAGUGUAACAUCUCACCCUCGGAUUGCCAACUACACUUUUUCCACACUUCAUCUUCCAAGAGGGACAAGUGCAACAUACUGCUAAGACACAUCAUGGCCCCAUGCCUCCGCCUCAUCCUCGGCACCAAGGAUAGCCCAGGAAACCAAGCUUCAGCAGCCCUGUGCCUCUACCUCAUACUCAACAACACCAAGGACAACCCAAGGAACUAGGUCUUAGCAACCCUAUGCCUCUGCCUCAUCCUCGAUAGUGCCAAGGACAGCCAAGGGACCUAGGCUUCAGUAGCCUUAUGCCUAAGGCUUGUCCUCGGUAGUGCUAAGGACAACCCAUGAAACCAUGCUUUAGCAGUCCAAUGCCUCUGCCUCAUCCUCGAUAGUGUUAAGGACAGUCCAAGGAACUAGACCUUAGUAGCCUACACCUCCACCUCAUCCUUGGAAGCACCCAUCGGGCCUCCUCGAGCCUAUGCUUGGCCUCCUUUGCUAGGCUUCAACAGCACUGUGCCUUCGCCUCAUCCUUGCAACUUCUUUCAUGCCUUCGUAAAUUUCUACUCGACUUCCUUUGCUCGUAGCUCCAAGAGUAGCUCAGCGGCCUGAACCUUGGUAGUGCUGCACCUCAGCUUCCACUGUUGGUAAAAUGCCAUAGUAUAAGUAGCUAAGGUAGAUCUAUUCCCCAGCCCAUAGCGACCAAAUUUAGACCCGUCAUAAAAAUCGCACCUUCAAUCACCACACGCCAACGAAACCUAAAGAGGAGCACAACCCCCUGAGCACAUCAAACCUUAAGGCAGUAAAAAGCUCCCUCCUAAACUAAGUAGGGUAAGGCGAUACAUCACAUCUUAGACAAAGCGCCUUAGCAGCGAUAAAUACCACCCAUUGCAGCAUCAUCCACCACUGGUCAGGUAUCAUGACGGGUCCAACCUAUCGCUUUAACGUACUCAAACUCCUUAACGGGUCUAACCUACCAUUUCAACCUGGUCAAACCCCUUGGUGGGUCCAAUCUACUACUUCAACAUGGUCAAACCCCUUAACGAGUCCAAUCUACCACUUUAAUAUGGUCAAACCCCUUAACGGGUCUAAUCUACCUAAGGGUUGCACAUAGGCUAAGCUCAUAUGCUCCCUAGCCAUACACUCAGCAUGAAGACCCGAGAGCUGCACCUAGGCUGAGCUCACGUGCUCCAUAAUCUUACACUUUGCAUGAAGACCCGGGGGAUGCACUUAGGUCGAGCUCACAUGCUCCCUAGUCGUGCACUCAGCAUGAAAGACCCCAGGGAUGCACCUAAGCCGAGCUUCCAUGCUCCCUAGUCAUGCACUAGAUGUGAAGACCUAGGGGUGAGAUCUUAAAUGAGUGGAGUUUAAAAGGACUCACUCUCGAGCCAAGCAUAUCGGCGUGAAGCCCCCGAGGGAUGCACCUAGGCCGAGCCUGCAUGCUCUCUAUCCAUGCACUCGGUAUGAAGACCCUAGGAUCAUACCUCGGCUAGGAUCGAUACGCUCUUGACACCCUAGCCAACAAACUUCCAUCAUAGCACAUACCCAACAGAAGAGCACGCAAAUGCACCAUCCAAAGAAAGCCCCUGAAUGACGCCCUUCCAAGAGGGGGGCAAAUGAUAUGGAUAAUUUUGCCCCAUGCCAACUCAUUUGCCAUAAAGGUUGACACCUAAGUAGGGCCCCAAGUCACCAGUCCCAAAAUGACGUCAUAGUGUGUCUUAAUAUGCCCUGCAUUAAUGACUAACAAUAACUGCUCUACCUUAUCAAGAUCAAUAAUCAUCUUAUCUUAUCAAGAUUAGAGACCAAAAUGAUCAGGCCAACUAGUAAGACGACCUAGGGAUCAUGUAUUAAAAAGAACCCAUCAACUCACAUUAAGGGAGAGACUCUCUACAUACUAACUCAGUUAUACAGCCGGCUUGUCAUGUAAGAUUACCAACCGCUAGAAGACACCGGGACGACCUAGCCUCCAGGGAAGGACUUCGCAGCCGAGCAGAUCCCAAUUCCUUUACUUGGUCUCACCGCUCUAAGGCCAGAUCGACCCCAACGAACCGCCUACCUUGUAGAUCUCCUACGUUGGUUUCUUACGCACUCCCACAUCAACAAGGAGAACACAAGAAUAAAUUUACGAUAGUAAAUCAAUCAUAUUGACUCAUCAUACACCAUCAAGACUAUAUUGGGUUCAUGACACAUCUGUUGAACCUAUUAAUAAAUUCCUCUUUCGAGAAUUCUACGAUAGCAUUACGUCAUCCAUGUUGAGUACUCACUCAAAAAAUCAUUUUAAUUUAUUUUCAUGUGAGUAAUGUUUCGACAAAGUCCCUGUCAUAUUUGUUUUCACGAAUACUUUAUCGUUCGUUGAUUCCCACUUAAGGGUCUUCGGUGAAUAAGGAUAAAAAGAAAAGGGCCUAUAUGUGAAAUAUUAUCAGAAAAAAGGGGUUUUCUAAAAACGUUCCGUUAAUUAAAGCACGGGAUGGCCUCUGUGCGGUCGCCGAAUAGAUAAUUAGAUACUCGCUCCUGAUUUGUCGCGUGCGAAUUUCUCUUCCGAUCGCCGUGUGUCCUUUCUACGCCCUUUCCAAACUUUCGUCGAAUUCGCCCCCUUCAUGCUUUCGUAACUGCGAUCGAGGGGGAGGAGGAAUCGAUUUGGCCGCAGGACGACGCUGAAGUCGCUGCUCUUCGUGCAUCGGUCGUCGAGACCCCUUGGUGAAUUUCCGGUCCCUCGUAGCCGCGGCUGGAUCACAGGUAGAGCGACCCAAUUUGAUUCGUAUUUAUUGUUUUUUUCUUGAGCAACCUCAUCUGGUAUUGCCUGGACACGAUCAUGAUCGGAAAAUUUCAGUUGGAAUCUUUUCUGGCAAGAAAAACCCUAGUUUGGUUGUGCUAUUUUGCAAUCGAAUCUUCUGGAACGCGGUCGAAAAAUUAAAACUUUCUGCGAAGAAUAGUUUUGUGCUGAAUCUUGAUUGCGUCCUGGGAUUCAUGGGGAUUCCAUGAAAAUUCAAAUUGGAUCUGAUGUAUCCAACUGCCGUGAUAUUUUCCUAUUCGACUAUGAUAUAUGACGCGACGCUCGCUCCAAUUUAUCAGAGUAAUAGAUUUUCAUUUAUCGAUAGAUUUAAUUAACAGAACUCACCUGAAUUUUACUUUUUGGAUCCAAUAACUGGAAAGAAGAGGGGAGAAAAAGGGGAAAAUAUGAUUUCUUGGAGUGAGGUAAAGGCUUUAGGUGAUCCUUGUGUUUCAUACACUGUUUUUGGUCGGAUUAUGAUGGCAUCCGUUAUCUAGGUAUCAAGGAUGUCUACUCCUGCAAGGAAAAGGCUGAUGAGAGACUUCAAACGGUUGCAGCAGGAUCCUCCAGCAGGUAUCAGCGGUGCUCCCCAUGAAAACAACAUCAUGCUAUGGAAUGCUGUAAUAUUUGGGUAUGUCCAUACGAAUCAUUUGGUGUAGUUUUACAUGGUUAAUACUGUGGGGUGAUUUUAUUGACACUUCUAGCUUGGUUUUGAACUGCAGCCCAGAUGAUACACCUUGGGAUGGAGGUAAGCUAUUUAGUGCUUUAGCCUCUGCUCAGGAAGUUGGAGCAUUAUGCUGAUUAUCUAUUAUUUUUGUGAAUGUCAUUUUCUCCUGAACACAUUUUUUGAGACUAAGCUUGUUGCUUGAAUAACCAAUUUCAAUGUUAGUGAUUAGUAGUUACAUUUUUUUGUUGCAUUCCAUAUGAUAGGUAAAAUUAUGUUGUUAUAUUAUAUCAUCCAUUUCUAUUUAGACUAUAGCAAGCCUGGUUAACUGCAUUUAUGCUGAAUUUAGAUUUGAUAAGGAAGAUUGAUAUAUCAGUUGAACCCACAUCAAUGAAACAACUAACUUUCCAACUAGCAUCCACUUCACAACUACCUGACACCACACCUUUCUCCCCUUCAACGACAACCAAAGUCCCUACUGAAAAAGAAUAAUCAAGCAAACACUGCAGGAUGUCGACAUAAUAAUCUCACAGAAGAAAAGUCCAAAUGGGAAAUCAUAAUAUAUUAAACUUUAAUGCUGAUGCAAGCUUAUCCAAUUGAGGAAGGAUCAACAAAGUUUUCAUAGCUAUUUAUUUAAUGCCACAAUCAUAAAGUAGAAUAUAAUGCUGCAGGACUCUAGCAAUGGUGCAGUAUAAAGAGGCAGGUAAAACUGUACAAUCAAUGACCCCACUCUGCAGGUUCAAUAAGCAGAAUACUGCAACACCCCAGGAGUAUUACACCAAUCUAAGUUAGUGUAUAUGAGAUCCAGUAAGCCCUGCUUUAGGUUUUGAACAUUCUACGAGUGAAAUUCAGAAACAGAACCAAAGUAGACAAAACGUGUUGAUUUGUUAACUCCAUAUAUGCAUAAAUAUCCCAGGCCUUGUAAGACAACUUUCACAAAGAGCAUGCUUAAUUUUGAAAUAUCAUAGCAUGUGUCUGUUGCCAGUCUUGAGGUUGAAAUUAUGUCUUGAAAACAUUUCCCAAUAUAUUUAUAAUUUUCUAGUCUCUUUGGAGUUUUCUAUAAUCUAAUAUUUUACUUUUUUUUACCUUGACAUCUGAUUAUGCCAAAUUGAAUAGCAAGCGAAGAUGAUUUGAUGAAUUUUUUUGUUGUGCUAUGUAUGAGUUUCAAGAGGGUUUACAUCUUCUAUAGCCAAAGUAUUAUUCCUCUACUGAUCCGUGCAUUGGGCAUAUUACAAUAAUGAUACAGUUAUGCCAACUAUGCUGCUAAUGCAUUAUUUAUUCUCUCUAUUUGCUGGAUUAUACUGUAUACCUGCUCCAAGUGUUCAUCAGUAGAUUUUAUUAUUAUUAUUAUUUUGCUUCCUCUAAGCUUGAAUUAUCGGAUCUGUCCAGGCACGUUUAAAUUGACACUUCAAUUUACAGAGGAUUAUCCAAAUAAGCCACCAUCUGUACGGUUUGUUUCUCGAAUGUUUCAUCCAAAUAGUAAGUGGAAUUACUGAUUUCCUUUUUUUCAUGAAUGUUUAGAAUUAUGCUGCUUUGAUAUUGCUUUAUUUUUCGAUUCUUGGUGGCUAUUGCUGUGAUAGAAAUGUUUAAGACAACAUCUUACACCUUAGAAAGAUGAAUGCCAAGACAAAAAGACUGCAUGGUACCAUCACUAUAUUGUAGCACCUGUCCAGAGAUUCGGUGAUCUGAUGCUGUUACCUUGAUAUAUCAGUAUUAGGAUGAUGUGAUUAUCCGCUGAAAUCCAAAACAGGGGUUGUUACCAGAGGUUAAAUUUGGUCUGUUACUUUAUGUUGGUUUCUUGGGUGGACAGAUCAACUAUAAAACUACUCAAUCUUGAAUUAAUUCAUUUUGGUAUUAGGCCAGUGAUUGUCCAAUGCUCUUGAAUUAAGUUGAAAUUUUUAAGGUUCAUAUUAAAAGAUAGAUUCUGAUUUUUUUUUCUUAACUGUUUUAUUGGAAUGAAAAAUUUAAUGUUGAGCAUGAACUGCUUGAUGUGACAUUAACAAGAGUUUCUUAUAUGGUAGAUGCUGCAAAAAUGAUAUGUAUGGAGUUUGGUUCAGCAUGUUAGUACCUGUUGAAGAUGAAUAAUAUCAUGGAACAAAGCCUUUGCUAUCUCCUAAUGGGCUACCAUAGAAACUUGAGAUGCUUCAGCUUUGGCAAAAUAUGAUGAGCACAUUGAAAUGUCCUAGAAGUGGUAUUGCAAGUUUAGAAUAUCAUGCUUGAUAUUGGGAAGGAUCAAUCUUGUUUUACUUCUCUUUCUUUGUUUCUCUUUUUUGGUUGGUGGGAGGGGGGCAUUUACAGAUCUAUUAAUAAAGAUUUAAAU
rnacentral:lncRNA from 1 species